rnacentral:rRNA from 1 species
AUUGAACGCUGGCGGCAGGCCUAACACAUGCAAGUCGAACGAGUGGCGGACGGGUGAGUAAUGUCUGGGAAACUGCCCGAUGGAGGGGGAUAACUACUGGAAACGGUAGCUAAUACCGCAUCCCAUCGGAUGUGCCCAGAUGGGAUUAGCUAGUAGGUGGGGUAACGGCUCACCUAGGGGACGAUCCCUAGCUGGUCUGCGAGGAUGACAAGCCAAACGGGAACUGAGACACGGGCCAGAGUGCUACGGGAGGCAGCAGUGGGGAAUGUUGCACAAGGGGGGGAAGCCUGAUGCAGCGAUGCCGCGUGUAUGAAGAAGGCCUUCGGGUUGUAAAGUACGUGCAGAGAGGAGGCGUUACUCGCAGAAGAAGCAUCGGCUAACUCCGUGCCAGCAGCCGCGGUAAUUC